GAAAGAAAGACAAAAUGGGGGGAAAUGAAAGAGAAUUAAAGCAUGAGUGGAAGCCCGUUCCAAGUUUCCUACAGUGUGGAACAAUAAAGCAAAUCUUGAAUAAUAAAAAAAAAGAGGAAAUAAAGAAAGAAAAUGAAGAAUGGGCAGACAAUGGAAGGAGCCAGUCUGAGAAUUCUGGGGAAAAUUGUUGUGGGAAGCAAAACUGAAGUAACCUAGAAUAAAUGACAGGUUAAAAGUACAUCAGAAAGGUAAAUUAUGGCUGGAAUGCACCACACUUCACAGACAGCGCAAGAUGAUCCAAUAAGGGUUGUUUUUUUUCCUUUAAUUACAGAGUUCACUUCAGUUAUCUGAUGUAGCAAUCACAUUGUCAUCCCCCUGUAUUUGCUUUAUGCUUAUCUGACAUAGCCCCUCCCGUAGAGUUUGACGGGCAGAGCACAACACAAACGCUGCCAAGGCUGUGGGUUUGAUUACUAGCGGGACCACCUAUGCUAAAAAUGCACACGCUCACAGUACAGUAAGGCAGCUUGGGUAAAAACAUCCACCAAAUGGACUACGCUAUGUUAAAAGAAUACACUGCUGAGCGUUUGCCUGCCAAGACAACACAAGAGGACAUUUACUCAGCCAUAACAACCUCAAUGCAAGGUCAGGCUUCUCCGCCACACUGAGGGCUGAAAUUCAUUUGAAUACCUUUGGCAGCGUGUAGAAGUUUAGAGGGAUGCGGAGUGGUGCUCCAGAAUAUUCAAAUUGUUGAUGCUGAGAGUUCAACGACAUCUGUGAAUGUUUUGAUGACCUCUUGUAAUUGCACACUACAAGAAGUGAUGUUUUGAAAGAAAAUAUGCUUCAAACUUAACUUGUCUGUGGUGAGACCAAUAAAAUGGAGUACAGUG